rnacentral:tRNA from 1 species
UGUAGCUCAAUUGUAGAGCACUUGCCUCACACGCAUGAAGCACUGAGUUCAAUCCUCAGCA